rnacentral:rRNA from 1 species
CACGUAGUUAGCCGGGGCUUCUUAAUCAGGUACCGUCUGGCGACCAAAGGUCGCUAUUUCUUCCCUGCUGAUAGAGCUUUACAUACCGAAAUACUUCUUCACUCACGCGGCGUCGCUGCAUCAGGGUUUCCCCAUUGUGCAAUAUUCCCACUGCUGCCUCCCGUAGGAGUUUGGGCCGUGUCUCAGUCCCAAUGUGGCCGUUCACCCUCUCAGGCCGGCUACUGAUCGUCGCCUUGGUGAGCCAUUACCCGACCAACAAGCUAAUCAGACGCGGAACCAUCGUAUACCACCAGAGUUUUCACACCACUUCAUGCGAAGCUGUGCGCUUAUGCGGUAUUAGCACCCUAUUUCUAAGUGUUACUCCCCAGUAUACGGCAGGUUUUCCACGCGUUACUCACCGUCCGCCACUACUCAUAAUCACUAGGUUUCAAUAUGAGCCCGUUCGACUUGCAUGUGUUAAGCACGCCGCCAGCGUACAUCUCGAGCCAGGA